rnacentral:rRNA from 1 species
GUGGCGGACGGGUGAGUAACACGUGAGGAACCUGCCUUACAGAGAGGGAUACCGUUUGGAAACGAACGUUAAUACCGCAUAACGUAUUGAAAUCGCAUGGUUUUGAUACCAAAGAUUUAUCGCUGUAAGAUGGCCUCGCGUCUGAUUAGAUAGUUGGUGAGGUAACGGCCCACCAAGUCGACGAUCAGUAGCCGGACUGAGAGGUUGAUCGGCCACAUUGGGACUGAGACACGGCCCAGACUCC